rnacentral:lncRNA from 12 species
AUGAGGGAAGAUGACCAUUCAAUGGAACAAAAUGAAAAUGACCUAGCACAAAUAAGUCUGUGCCAACAUGCAGAUAAGCCUGUCAAGCAGAAAAAAGAGAAAGGGUACAGCUAUGCAAUGGCCCUCCAACUGUUGGGUUUGGAUGAUGGGACUGGACCCAGUGAUAGGGGUCCUGUCCUGAUGAGAGGGACCUACCUAUCCUUUCUGUAUCUGCGCCACCUGCGAAUCAGGGAGCUGCAGCGAAUCUGUUUAGGAAUUCUGAACUAUUUCAGAUCCGUUGAGCGAACACUGACAAUCAAUACUUCAGGCCUUACAAUGGUUGCAGGGAGUCUGGUCUCCACCAUCGAAGAUAGUUCCUGGGUAAAUAUGGCUAAAGGAGGCUUGGGCACCUUGCAAGGCCUAGGAACUCACCACUAUGUCCAUGGAACAUCUGCCGAGCACAAGGUCCACAGUGUCCAAUUCAUGGAAUUCUCAGAAGUGGAGAACCAGGAUGACUACUACAGCAUGGGAGCUGGUUACAUCUACACGCAGGACCAGCAAGGAGUACACAUCAUGUAUGAUGAAGCCCUGGCUGAUCUGAAGGAGCUGGAGGCAGAACUACUGCUUGUGGCCAGCUAUUACAUUGAGAAAGAAAAAGGUCACAAAGAGGACACCAAGUCAAAUACUGGCCAGGACUGGGGAUGGGCCCACGCAAGUGUGGACAGAUUUGCUGUGCUGUAUGACGUGUGGACUUGGGAAGCAGCUCUGCUAGAAAACAAGCGCCAGCUUCUUGACAGUUACUUUGAAGCCUACCAGCACGUGUUGGACCCUGAGGAGAGAUUUGCUCUAGCACAAGUGAUCACUGACAUCAUGCACAGGCGCCCACGGUUUGAUCUCAGCCACCCUUAUUUCAUUAAGGCCUACCGAGAUGAAUGUACCUGCCUGAGGCUUCACUUGCAGCUCGUGAGGGACAUCCUCAAUCAGCACAUAGAGCGUCAGCGGGAGUAUGUCCAGAGGCUUUGGCAAGAAGGCCAUCCGAAUGAUAGCCGUCACUUUGGACUUCCCCUUAACAUCAUUUGCAAACAACUUAUUUCCAUCAACAAUAGCUGCCCAGCUUUGAAAAACAUUUAUCUGCUGGAGUUCCACCCUUCCCUGGGCCUGGCAUCACUCAUCGCCCGAUCCCUUGAUCACCUCCUCCGGGAGGCCCGCCACACGUGCAGACCCACAUCCGCCAGCAGCCUCACUUUGCUGGAGAGACAUGUGCUGCGGCUGGCCCUGGAUAUGUGGCUCACACCAGCCAAGCCUGAGUCCUGGUACAGCACACAGCUCCAGAAAGAUCUGUUUUCAGCUAAAGUAAUGGGAGAUCCCUUCCUCAUGGAGGAGAUAGGUCUACUUGCACUCAAGUCUGCAGCAGAUGAAGGACAGAACCAAAGCCAAGAUUCUCAUGUGCUGCUUCUGGAGACGUUUUCCAAACUUCUGGAGCUUGUGACCCUCCGCCACCGGCUGAUAGAAAUGAGUUUGGAGAGUGUACACUUAGCUCGGCUCUAUAAGGUACUGGCACGGGAGAUGGGUUUUGAAGAGUUCCAUUUGUAUCUGAGGCCUGUUCACUUUGAAUUUGCAUCACACAAGGACAAAAUAGACCAUCCACCCCCUGUCUUUAUCACCUCUCUGCUGGAGGACAGUGAUCGAGUGGACAGAUAUUCUCCUACUACUCUUGUCUUAGCCAUCUCUGAGGUGGAUGAUAACCAGGUUGGCAAGUUUAGCUUUUAUACAAAGGAAUCCAUCCUUAAGCUCUUAUUCCAUUCAGGAGUGGAAAAUAUGCAAGUGACCCUUGCAUGCCAAGCGGCUCAGAAAAAUGCUUUGAUGGUGGCUGUCCAACAGGCAUCCUUCUAUCACAUGCCCCAAUGGGCCUCUCCUGCUGAUGUGAAGGAAAUGAGUUCAUAUCUGAGAAAUGGUGGAAUGGGUCCAGCCAGAAGAAGAAAUUCCAAAAUUGUGAAUGGCGUAGAGAACUUACUGUUAGCCCCAACUUCAAAAGUUCCAGACAACCUUACUUAUCCUUCAGAAAAAUUCCAUGCUACCAAAAGGGCUCCGGAGGCUUUUGUGUCUAUUCAACUAGAAAAGGUGGGGCUGCGGGACAUGAUGCUGAACACCUUCCUCCUCAAGAAACAAACCAUGGACGACAGAAUGAAGAGCUUUGAUGAAAUUGGUAAAGUCAAGAGAGAUGUUAUAGUUGAAUAUUGUCAGAAGUUCAAUUGCCGUAUGUCUCACUACGCUCUUCGGGGUCAGAUUAUGGCAUAUUGUAAUAGCCUGAGAGCCCUGCUGGAAGAUUUCCCUACCAUCAGGGACACCUUUUUCAUGGUGGGGCAACCACGAGAAAAGAAAGGGUUGAGAGAUUCCAAGGAGGGCCUCAAGGCUGACCCCAGGAGGUUUCAGCCCCGGCCACGGUGUCUGCUGUCUGCCGACGGGAAAGUCUUCCUCAAUUUAUGGUUCAUUCCCCAUCCUUCUGAAGUGCUGGUUAUGUUCAAAACUCUGCCAGAAAAGGUUUGUAUUUUUUUUAUGUGUGCCAGAAUGAAAACUGGCUGCGGUUUUAGGUCUCAUGGUUGA